rnacentral:rRNA from 1 species
GCCCUGGCAGUCAGAGGCGAUGAAGGACGUGCUAAUCUGCGAAAAGCGCCGGCGAGGUGAUAUGAACCUUUGACCCGGCGAUGUCCGAAUGGGGAAACCCAGUGCAAUUCGUUGCACUAUCGUUAACUGAAUACAUAGGUUAACGAGGCGAACCGGGGGAACUGAAACAUCUAAGUACCCCGAGGAAAAGAAAUCAACCGAGAUUCCCCCAGUAGCGGCGAGCGAACGGGGAGCA